rnacentral:rRNA from 2 species
GACGAACCGUGCGAACGUUAUUCGGAAUCACUGGGCUUAAAGCGCGUGUAGGCGGCCCGGCACGUCCGUCGCUGAAAUCCCCCGGCUCAACCGGGGAAGGGGCGCGGAUACGACCGGGCUGGAGGGGGGUAGGGGGAUCGGGAACUUCCGGUGGAGCGGUGAAAUGCGUUGAGAUCGGAAGGAACGCCCGCGGCGAAAGCGCGGUCCUGGACCCCACCUGACGCUGAGACGCGAAAGCCAGGGGAGCGAACGGG